rnacentral:rRNA from 1 species
AGUGAACGCUGGCGGUAGGCCUAACACAUGCAAGUCGAACGGCAGCACAGUAAGAGCUUGCUCUUACGGGUGGCGAGUGGCGGACGGGUGAGGAAUACAUCGGAAUCUACUUUUUCGUGGGGGAUAACGUAGGGAAACUUACGCUAAUACCGCAUACGACCUUCGGGUGAAAGCAGGGGAACUUCGGACCUUGUGCGAUUGAAUGAGCCGAUGUCGGAUUAGCUAGUUGGCUGGGUAAAGGCCCACCAAGGCGACGAUCCGUAGCUGGUCUGAGAGGAUGAUCAGCCACACUGGAACUGAGACACGGUCCAGACUCCUACGGGAGGCAGCAGUGGGGAAUAUUGGACAAUGGGCGCAAGCCUGAUCCAGCCAUACCGCGUGGGUGAAGAAGGCCUUCGGGUUGUAAAGCCCUUUUGUUGGGAAAGAAAAGCAGCAGGUUAAUCCCCCGCUGUUCUGACGGUACCCAAAGAAUAAGCACCGGCUAACUUCGUG